rnacentral:rRNA from 1 species
AUGAAAGAGUAUGUAGAUGCUGCCAAAUUUCGUGGUCAGAAUGGAUGGACGAAAGAAGGAUGGAAUUGCAUGGCUACACGCUUGAACAAUCAGUUUCCGAGAGCUAAUUUUAUUGUUUCUCAACUAAAAUUUAGAGAGCAGCGGUUGAAGAAAGAUUAUUUUACUGUCAAAUCUAUUGUAGAGAAAAGUGGCUUCAGUUUUGAUCCUAUGACAAAAAUGCAAACGACCAUUGAUGAAAAAUGGGAUGAAUUGAGCACAGAAUAACAGAAGUGGAGAUACAAAGCAUUCCCUUACUAUGAUGAUUUGUCUACAAUUUAUGAUGGUAUGUUGGUUUCACAUGUAAUGAAUUUAGCAUAUGUUUUCGCUGCUUGUAGUUUACAAUCUAUUCGUCUAUACUCAGGUAAAACAGCAGAGGGGAAGGGUUGUAAGAGGACAACUGAUCAGGUUGAAGAGAAGAGAAGUUCAGCUACAGAUUUGCCACAAGGGGAAACCUUCACACAACAAGUUCUAAAUGCCGCUGGGCUUAAUUCGCCUAGUCCAACAUUACAGGCUCCAGGCUUUGAAGAUCAACAUUAUGAGUGGAGUCAAGGCAUAUAUGGUGAGGAUGUUGAAGUAUUUCCUGUUGAGAACACAUAAUGUAUGGAGAAUACUAGUAACCAAUUUCCCAAUGAAGACAUGAACACACUUCGUGACCCACCACCUAUGAAAAAGGCUAGGACUUCUAAAGGCAAUGAUGAAGGUAAGGCUAAGAGAGGCAAAGACACCGCGAUUGAAUAUCUAGUUGCAGUUAGAAAAGAAGAACUUCAAACUUAUGUGGAUGUGAAGACGAAGCAAAUUGAGAGCUAUAGAGACGUGAAAAUGGCGCUGAUGGAAAAGGAUCCCGACAAAGAUCCUUAUUGCAUUGCCAAACUUAAGACAAUACCAGAUCUUUCAGCAAGUGAACAUCUGAAGAUGAUCGAUUAUCUGAAAGGACAAAGAGUUGACGAAAUCUUCAUGACAGCGGAGCAUUAUGUUGUUCUGGAGAUCCUCAAGAAAGUGCUUGGCCGUGAAAUUUAA